GACGUAGGGCGCAAGCGUUGUCCGGAUUUAUUGGGCGUAAAGAGCUCGUAGGCGGCCUGUCGCGUCGACCGUGAAAACCCGCGGCUCAACUGCGGGCUUGCGGUCGAUACGGGCAGGCUGGAGUUCGGUAGGGGAGACUGGAAUUCCUGGUGUAGCGGUGAAAUGCGCAGAUAUCAGGAGGAACACCGGUGGCGAAGGCGGGUCUCUGGGCCGAUACUGACGCUGAGGAGCGAAAGCGUGGGGAGCGAACAGG
rnacentral:rRNA from 1 species